CGGAGGAAGGUGGGGAUGACGUCAAAUCAUCAUGCCCCUUAUGUCUUGGGCUUCACGCAUGCUACAAUGGCCGGUACAAAGGGUUGCGAUACCGUGAGGUGGAGCUAAUCCCAAAAAGCCGGUCUCAGUUCGGAUUGGGGUCUGCAACUCGACCCCAUGAAGUCGGA
rnacentral:rRNA from 1 species